rnacentral:misc_RNA from 1 species
AAAAAAAAAAUCUAAAAGAGGCUAGAAUGCCAUGAUAAGAAUUCAAAUUUACAGUCACAGUGUUCCACGUUGCUCGCUACCUCGAUAUCCCCAAAAACAAAGUUCAAACUUCAAACCAGAAAUCAGAAACCUGCCCUUCUCUUCACCUCCUCUUCUCCUUCUUCACUUCGUCUUCUUCGCCCUUAGCCAAUAUACCAGUCAAUUCUAUGCAACUCCUCGUUGCAUUCUUCCAUUCUCUCAAAUGAUCAAACACUGACUUUGAUUUUUCCCCAUCAAAAUCUUUCAAAGAGCCACCAUAAUUACAACAGAAAAUGCUGCUCGACUCGUUUCCAAUAAUCACUACAUUUCUUGUUCUUCUCCUUUCUCCACUCUCUGUCUCUCUUACCAUAGAUGGCCUCGCCCUCUUGGCUCUCAAAGCUGCAAUCACUACCGACCCAACUCAAGUUCUUGCUUCUUGGUCCGAUUCUGAUCCAACUCCAUGCCACUGGCACGGAAUUACUUGCAUUAAUCACCGAGUCACAUCUCUCAUUCUCCCAAACAGAAGCUUUACUGGUUAUCUUCCCUCCGAACUCGGUCUCCUUGACUCGUUAACUCGACUUACUCUCUCUUACAAUAACUUCUCCAAGCCCAUCCCUUCCAAUCUCUUCAAUGCCACCAGUCUACGCUCUCUUGAUUUGUCUCAUAACUCUCUCUCCGGUUCCGUCUCACCCCAGAUAAAAUCCUUAAAGGCUCUAACCCACUUGGAUUUAUCUUCAAAUUUCCUUAAUGGGUCUCUUCCUGAAUUUCUCGUUGAGCUGAAAAACCUCUCCGGAACUCUUAAUUUGUCUUAUAACGCAUUUUCCGGUAGGAUUCCGGAAUCAUACGGAAAAUUUCCGGUGAUGGUCAGUUUGGAUUUGAGGCACAAUAAUCUUAGCGGAAAAGUACCUCAGGAGGGGUCAUUGGUAAACCAGGGUCCUACUGCAUUUGCAGGAAACCCCAGUCUUUGUGGGUUUCCAUUGCAGACUCCAUGUCCAGAGGCUUUCAACAUUACGACCAGCGGAAACCCAGAAAAUCCUGAAAACCCUAGGGAUGCUAACCACGAUUUUGUUGCUGAAACCGAAGAUAAACGGAAAGCGAGAAAUAGGACGGUGGCAGUUCCUUUAAUUUCGGGUGUUUCAUUGGUGAUCGGUGCCGUCUCGGUCUCGGUGUGGCUAUUCCGGAGGAAAUGGGGUUCUGCUGCGGAGAAGGGCAAGAUGGGAGGGGAGAAUGACAUGGGUAACACCAGUGAUUUGAACGAGGACGGGCAGAAGGGUAGAUUCGUAGUGAUCGACGAGGGGUUUAAUAUGGAAUUAGAAGAUUUGUUGAGGGCAUCGGCGUACGUGGUGGGGAAAAGCCGUAGUGGGAUAGUGUACAAGGUGGCGGUGGGCGGGAGAGGAUCUGGUACGGUGGUGCCUGCCGUAGUUGCUGUAAGGAGGUUGAACGAAGGUGAUGCCACGUGGAGGUUCAAGGAGUUUGAGUCCGAGGUGGAGGCAAUUGGGAGGGUCCACCAUCCUAACGUCGUGCGGUUGAAAGCAUAUUACUAUGCCAAUGAUGAGAAGUUGCUGAUCUCCGAUUUCAUACGCAAUGGGAGCUUAUACACAGCGCUGCAUGGAGGACCUUCAAAUACAUUGCCACCACUAUCGUGGGCAGCAAGGUUGAAAAUUGCUCAAGGAACUGCAAGGGGUUUAAUGUACAUUCAUGAAUACAGCCCUAGAAAAUAUGUUCAUGGAAACUUAAAAUCCACAAAAAUCCUUCUCGAUGAUGAGCUCCAGCCUUACAUCUCGAGUUUUGGACUCGCCCGUCUUGUUUCCAGUACCUCCAAGUUUACAACUUCAACAUCCAAAAAGCAAAAUUUGAAUCAAGCCAUUAUAUCCUCUACAAUUGGCUCAAGGGUUUCAGCGCCCUCUAAUUUUUACUUGGCACCUGAGGCUCGAGCAUUUGGCGCCAAGUUCAGUCAGAAAGGUGAUGUGUACUCUUUUGGAAUCAUCCUGAUGGAACUUUUAACUGGUAGGCUACCUGAUGCAGGACCAGAAAAUGAUGAGAAAGGACUAGAAAGUCUCGUGAGGAAGGUGUUUCGAGAAGAACGCCUGUUAUCUGAGAUUAUAGACCCAGCAUUAUUGAGUGAGGUUUAUGCAAAGAAACAGGUUAUUUCAGUGUUUCAUAUUGCACUCAAUUGUACUGAACUCGACCCUGAAGUUCGUCCCAGGAUGAAAACCGUGUCUCAGAGUCUCGAUCGCAUCAAAUUGCAAUGAAAAAUGAAAGGAUGAUUCAUGUAAAGUUUUGUAUGCAGUUGCUCAUGACUUCUGAUGCAGUUGGAUUUUUUUUUUUCAUCAGAAUCAUUGUACGAGUUUGUUCGGAUGCAUCUGUAAGUUCCAAUUUUAUCAUUUGUUCCUGUAGGGACUUCUUUGGGACUAGAUGUAUGUCUUGUUAGAUUAAGUAUUUGUAAUGUAUUCUCAAUGUGUUGAUGCCUUAUUUACAACUUUU